GUUUCCUGUGGCUUAGUCAGUAGAGCAUUGUUCUAGCAAGGCAAAGAUUGCAGGUUCAAACCAAGGGGCAACC